rnacentral:rRNA from 1 species
AUUGAACGCUGGCGGCAGGCCUAACACAUGCAAGUCGAACGAGUGGCGGACGGGUGAGUAUUGUCUGGGAAACUGCCUGAUGGAGGGGGUUACCUACUGGAAACGGUAGCUAAUACCGCAUACCAUCAGAUGUGCCCAUAUGGGAUUAGCUUGUGGGUGGGGUAACCGCGCACCAAGGCGACGAUCCCUAGCUGGUCUGAGAGGAUGACAAGACAUAGAGUGACAGGGUAAAGGGCCGGAGUGCUACGGAAGUCAGCAGUGGGGGAUAUUGCAUAAUGGGCGCAAGCCUGAUGAAGCCAUGCCGCGAGGAUGAAGAAGGCCUUCGAGUUGUAAAGUACUUUCAGCGGGGAGGCGUUACCCGGAGAAGAAGCAACGGCUAACUCCGUGCCAGAAGCCGAGGUAAUUA